rnacentral:rRNA from 1 species
CACGUAGGCGGUCCAUUAAGUUCUGCGUGAAAUCCCCCGGCUCAACCGGGGAACUGCGUCGAAUACUGAUGGACUCGAGGACGGUUGGGGUGAGUGGAACUCCUGGUGGAGCGGUGAAAUGCGUAGAUAUCAGGAGGAACACCAGUGGCGAAAGCGGCUCACUGGACCGUAUCUGACGCUGAGGUGCGAAAGCUAGGGUAGCGAACG